CCUGCUCAUUAUUCCCCCUUUUUCUCUGUACCUGCUUAAUGUAGAGGCAAGCGCUUGGUGUCAGCAGGUAGGGGAAGGACUCCUCUACCUGCUGACCAAAGGGGAAGGGGAUCGGUGCAGGGGUGUAAGCAGGAGAGGGGAAAAUGUAAGCAGAUGUCGAGUUGAAAAUUGCGGUAAAAAUUGAGUUAUGAGAUUUUUACCUGCUGAUAUUUUCCCCUUUUUCUCCGUACCUGCUUAAUGUAGAGGCAUGCGCUUGGUGUCAGUAGGUAGGGGAAGGACUCCUCUACCUGCUGUACAAAGGGGAAGGGGAUCAGUGCAGGGGUGUAAGCAGGAGAGGGAAAAAUGUAAGCAGAUGUCAAGUUGAAAAUGGUGGUAAAAAUUGGGUUAUGAGAUUUUUACCUGCUGAUAUUUCCCCCUUUUUCUCCGUACCUGCUUAAUGUAGAGUCAUGCGCUUGGUAUCAGCAGGUAGGGGAAGGACUCCUCUACCUGCUGUACAAAGGGGAAGGGGAUCCGUGCAGGGGUGUAAGCAGGGGAGGGGAAAAUGUAAGCAGAUGUCGAGUUGAAAAUGGUGGUAAAAAUUGAGUUAUGAGAUUUUUACCUGCUGAUAUUUUCCCCUUUUUCUCCGUACCUGCUUAAUGUAGAGGCAUGCGCUUGGUGUCAGCAGGUAGGGGAAGGACUCCUCUACCUGCUGACCAAAGGGGAAGGGGAUCGGUGCAGGGGUGUAAGCAGGAGAGGGAAAAAUGUAAGCAGAUGUCAAGUUGAAAAUGGUGGCAAAAAUUGAGUUAUGAGAUUUUUACCUGCUUAUAUAUAUCCCUUUUUCUCUCCAUCUGCUUAGAGGAGAGGUAAGUGCUUGGUGUCAGCAGGUAGGGGAAGGACUCCUCUACCUGCUGACCAAAGGGGAAGGGGAUCCGUGCAGGGGUGUAAGCAGGAGAGGGAAAAAUGUAAGCAGAUGUCGAGUUGAAAAUGGUGGCAAAAAUUGAGUUAUGAGAUUUUUACC